UAUCGGAGAGUUUGAUCCUGGCUCAGGACGAACGCUGGCGGCGUGCCUAAUACAUGCAAGUCGAGCGAAGAGAUGGGAGCUUGCUCCCUGAUCUUAGCGGCGGACGGGUGAGUAACACGUGGGCAACCUGCCCUGCAGACUGGGAUAACUCCGGGAAACCGGAGCUAAUACCGGGUAAUACAUCGCACCGCAUGGUGCAAUGUUGAAAGUUGGCUU
rnacentral:rRNA from 1 species